UGAAAAAGACGAAUCCUUUUUGGCACCAUCAUAUAAAUCAUAUUUAUUUUUUUAAGCAGCCAUGACAAAGUGCUCUGACGGGGUUGAAACUUGAACCCAUUUUGAACAUUUAUAUCCUCUUCUCCUCCGCAGCUCUCCAGAGAGUGCUCAGAGAGACACAGAUGGAACCUCCACCAGCACAAGCCAUAGAGACUUCCAGCAACAAUUUUCAGGCAGGAGAAGAUGAGCAGGACAAAGUCAUCAAUGACUGUUGUUCCUGCUUUUAUGACUGCACAGAGACCUGCUUUGAUUACUUAUUCUGUAAUCUCUGUUAGAUGAGAUGGGAUUAGAUUAAGCUUAUAAGUUCAUGUUGGUACUAGUUUUAUCCUUUUUUCUUUUUCUUUUUGUUUUUGUUUUUGUUUUCUUUGACUAGCUUGCCUAUUGAUUACAUUGGAUUUAACAUGAAUAUGAUUUUUUAAUACCCCUUUUGAUUUAA